CAGUCGCCGCGGGAAAACGGAGGGUGCAAGCGUUAAUCGGAAUUACUGGGCGUAAAGCGUGCGUAGGCGGUUCGUUAAGUCUGUUGUGAAAGCCCCGGGCUCAACCUGGGAACUGCAUUUGUGACUGCAUGGCUAGAGUACGGUAGAGGGGGAUGGAAUUCCGCGUGUAGCAGUGAAAUGCGUAGAUAUGCGGAGGAACACCGAUGGCGAAGGCAAUCCCCUGGGCCUGUACUGACGCUCAUGCACGAAAGCGUGGGGAGCAAACAGGAUUAGAUACCCCGGUAGUCCCUGUCUCUUAUAC
rnacentral:rRNA from 1 species